GACGAACGCUGGCGGCGUGCCUAAUACAUGCAAGUUGAGCGCUGAAGGUUGGUACUUGUACCAACUGGAUGAGCAGCGAACGGGUGAGUAACGCGUGGGGAAUCUGCCUUUGAGCGGGGGACAACAUUUGGAAACGAAUGCUAAUACCGCAUAAAAACUUUAAACACAAGUUUUAAGUUUGAAAGAUGCAAUUGCAUCACUCAAAGAUGAUCCCGCGUUGUAUUAGCUAGUUGGUGAGGUAAAGGCUCACCAAGGCGAUGAUACAUAGCCGACCUGAGAGGGUGAUCGGCCACAUUGGGACUGAGACACGGCCCAAACUCCUACGGGAGGCAGCAGUAGGGAAUCUUCGGCAAUGGACGAAAGUCUGACCGAGCAACGCCGCGUGAGUGAAGAAGGUUUUCGGAUCGUAGAACUCUGUUGGUAGAGAAGAACGUUGGUGAGAGUGGAAAGCUCAUCAAGUGACGGUAACUACCCAGAAAGGGACGGCUAACUACGU
rnacentral:rRNA from 1 species